rnacentral:rRNA from 1 species
AGUAACGCGUGGGUAACCUGCCUCAUACAGGGGAUAACAGUUAGAAAUGACUGCUAAUACCGCAUAAGCGCACAGUGCUGCAUGGCACAGUGUGAAAAACUCCGGUGGUAUGAGAUGGACCCGCGUCUGAUUAGCUAGUUGGUGGGGUAACGGCCUACCAAGGCGACGAUCAGUAGCCGGCCUGAGAGGGUGAACGGCCACAUUGGGACUGAGACACGGCCCAA